rnacentral:rRNA from 1 species
GAUGAACGCUGGCGGCGUGCCUAAUACAUGCAAGUCGAACGAGUUCUCGUUGAUGAUCGGUGCUUGCACCGAGAUUCAACAUGGAACGAGUGGCGGACGGGUGAGUAACACGUGGGUAACCUGCCCUUAAGUGGGGGAUAACAUUUGGAAACAGAUGCUAAUACCGCAUAGAUCCAAGAACCGCAUGGUUCUUGGCUGAAAGAUGGCGUAAGCUAUCGCUUUUGGAUGGACCCGCGGCGUAUUAGCUAGUUGGUGAGGUAAUGGCUCACCAAGGCGAUGAUACGUAGCCGAACUGAGAGGUUGAUCGGCCACAUUGGGACUGAGACACGGCCCAAACUCCUACGGGAGGCAGCAGUAGGGAAUCUUCCACAAUGGACGCAAGUCUGAUGGAGCAACGCCGCGUGAGUGAAGAAGGCUUUCGGGUCGUAAAACUCUGUUGUUGGAGAAGAAUGGUCGGCAGAGUAACUGUUGUCGGCGUGACGGUAUCCAACCAGAAAGCCACGGCUAACUACGUGCCAGCAGCCGCGGUAAUACGUAGGUGGCAAGCGUUAUCCGGAUUUAUUGGGCGUAAAGCGAGCGCAGGCGGUUUUUUAAGUCUGAUGUGAAAGCCCUCGGCUUAACCGAGGAAGCGCAUCGGAAACUGGGAAACUUGAGUGCAGAAGAGGACAGUGGAACUCCAUGUGUAGCGGUGAAAUGCGUAGAUAUAUGGAAGAACACCAGUGGCGAAGGCGGCUGUCUGGUCUGUAACUGACGCUGAGGCUCGAAAGCAUGGGUAGCGAACAGGAUUAGAUACCCUGGUAGUCCAUGCCGUAAACGAUGAAUGCUAGGUGUUGGAGGGUUUCCGCCCUUCAGUGCCGCAGCUAACGCAUUAAGCAUUCCGCCUGGGGAGUACGACCGCAAGGUUGAAACUCAAAGGAAUUGACGGGGGCCCGCACAAGCGGUGGAGCAUGUGGUUUAAUUCGAAGCAACGCGAAGAACCUUACCAGGUCUUGACAUCUUUUGAUCACCUGAGAGAUCAGGUUUCCCCUUCGGGGGCAAAAUGACAGGUGGUGCAUGGUUGUCGUCAGCUCGUGUCGUGAGAUGUUGGGUUAAGUCCCGCAACGAGCGCAACCCUUAUGACUAGUUGCCAGCAUUUAGUUGGGCACUCUAGUAAGACUGCCGGUGACAAACCGGAGGAAGGUGGGGAUGACGUCAAAUCGUCAUGCCCCUUAUGACCUGGGCUACACACGUGCUACAAUGGAUGGUACAACGAGUUGCGAGACCGCGAGGUCAAGCUAAUCUCUUAAAGCCAUUCUCAGUUCGGACUGUAGGCUGCAACUCGCCUACACGAAGUCGGAAUCGCUAGUAAUUGCGGAUCAGCACGCCGCGGUGAAUACGUUCCCGGGCCUUGUACACACCGCCCGUCACACCAUGAGAGUUUGUAACACCCGAAGCCGGUGGCGUAACCCUUUUAGGGAGCGAGCCGUCUAAGGUGGGACAAAUGAUUAGGGUG